AAGUCCUGAUUUCAAGCGAGGUUACCCGCUGGAUUUAAGCAUAUUAAUAAGCGGAGGAAAAUAAAAUAACUAUGAUUUCCCUAGUAACGGCGAGUGAAGCGGAAAGAGCUCAAAUUUGAAAUUGGCCGUCAAAAGCCGAAUUGUAGUUUCAAGGAACGGCGGUUGUUCUGCAGACGUGUGCCGGGGUAAUUUUCGCUGGAAAGCGAAGCCUGAGAAGGUGACAGCCCUGUGUCGCCCGGCGCGUUUGCAGAGGGACACUGCUAUUCCAAAGAGUCGUGCUUCUUGGGAGUGAAGCUCUAAAUGCCGGGUAAAUCUCCGGUAAGGCUAAAUAUUCGGUCAAAGACCGAUAGCAAACAAGUACCG
rnacentral:rRNA from 1 species